CGCAAUUACAUUUGCACCAACCUAAUAAAAUUGGAACAAUACAGAGAUUAGCAUGGCCCCUGCACAAGGAUCACAUGCACAUUCGGAAGGCGUUUCAUAUUCUU